UACAGAGGGGGCAAGCGUUGUUCGGAAUUACUGGGCGUAAAGGGCGCGUAGGCGGCCUGUUAAGUCGAACGUGAAAUCCCUGGGCUCAACCCAGGAACUGCGUCCGAUACUGGCAGGCUUGAAUUCGGGAGAGGGAUGCGGAAUUCCAGGUGUAGCGGUGAAAUGCGUAGAUAUCUGGAGGAACACCGGUGGCGAAGGCGGCAUCCUGGACCGAUAUUGACGCUGAGGCGCGAAAGCCAGGGGAGCAAACAGG
rnacentral:rRNA from 1 species